UAAAGCUGAAAGGUUCUCAAUUCAAUGAUUUGAAAUCAGGGGUUUCUUAAAAAGACUGGUUCAAUAUGGCUCUGGAGUUGUUAUAUCUAAGGAUAUAUUAUGAAAAGCAUGCAGCACUCUCACAAACCAUCAUUUUCAAAAUACAACUAUAAACAGCAAAUCUUAACAACUAUAUGAAGUCUAUAUUAUGGAUCGAGGUAUACACCACUGGAAUUUAGAAAGCCAGUGUGAGCAGCUCUCAACCUGACAUCAUCCCAUUAUGAAUUGGCACCCAAUUUUUGGCCAAGGAUACGCUGGGCAAAACAACCUUGAGGAUGGAUAUGAUGCAUUUGUAUUUGUUAAGCAAGACGCUGCUAGGACUUUCUUCAUUUACAAUGCUUCCAAACUAAUCGCAAGUAAUACAUUACAUCUCACCCACAUUCAGUAUCAUCAUCAUCAUCACUUACAGAAGGAGGGUAGCAACAACAAGAGAGCGGUUGGCUGUCAAAGGGGGUACUUAUACAAAAGAUGAUAGAAGAGUGGUGAUGAAAGCGGUGACGACUUGGACAUCAAGGUUAGGGAUGAUGGCUGAAGAGUAAUGAUCACGGUAGGAACAUUGAACAACGCAAGGUUAUCAGAAGCUAUAUACAAGCUGAAGAUGGUGGAGGGGAGUGGGGAGAGAGUGGCUGCACUCCUUACAUGAAAUUAAAUAGGGACAACAAGAGAAAACAAAAUUAGAUAUUUCAACAUGUUUAUUGAACCAACUAUAUUGCUGACGAUCCUACCUAGUGCUCAUACAUACAAUCAAACUGGCUGAUAAACCAACUAUAUUGCUGACGAUCCUACCUAGUGCUCAUACAUACAAUCAAACUGGCUGAUCAUCAUAUGAAAAGAUGUCUCGACAUCAAGUCUUGCAAAUCAUGGAGACGAAGAAUCGUGUUACACAUCAAACAUUGCAAUCAGAGCGGACAGCAGAACAAAC
rnacentral:lncRNA from 1 species